UAUAAGUAUUAUGUGAGCUUUGUCGAUGAUUAUUCCCGUUUCACUUGGAUAUAUCUUCUUAAGCACAAGUCUGACGUUGAGCAAGUAUUUUAUGCUUUUCAGGCUCAUGUUGAGCGUCUUCUCCGCACUAAAAUCAUAUCCGUUCAGUCAGACUGGGGUGGUGAGUACCACAAAUUACACCGCUAUUUCCAACGCACUGGGAUCUCUCAUCGUGUGUUCUGCCCACACACCUCUCAGCAAAACGGGAUUGCUGAACGCAAACACCGUCAUCUUGUGGAAACAGGUCUGGCCUUAUUGGCUCAUUCGUCUCUCCCUUUACGGUAUUGGGACGAAGCU
rnacentral:rRNA from 1 species